UACAGAGGAUGCAAGCGUUAUCCGGAAUUAUUGGGCGUAAAGCGUACGUAGGUGGCGAUUCAAGUCUGUGGUUAAAGCCUGCAGCCUAACUGCAGAAAAGCCAUGGAAACUGAAACGCUAGAGUGCGAUAGAGGUAAGGGGAAUUCCCGGUGUAGCGGUGAAAUGUGGAGAUAUCGGGAAGAACACCAGCGGCGAAAGCGCCUUACUGGGUCGCAACUGACACUGAGGUACGAAAGCCAGGGGAGCAAAUGGG
rnacentral:rRNA from 1 species